UGAACGCUGGCGGCGUGCCUAACACAUGCAAGUUGAGCGGUAAGGCCCCUUCGGGGGCACACGAGCAGCGAACGGGUGAGUAUCGCGUGGGUAAUCUACCUAGAGGUGGGGGAUAGCCUCGGGAAACCGAGGGUAAUACCGCAUGAGUCCUCGACGACAUAAGUCGAUGAGGGGAAAGGCGGGGCUCCUUCGGGACCUGUCGCCUCUGGAUGAGCCCGCGUCCGAUUAGCUUGUUGGUGAGGUAAUGGCUCACCAAGGCAACGAUCGGUAGCCGGCCUGAGAGGGUGAACGGCCACAUUGGGACUGAGACACGGCCCAGACUCCUACGGGAGGCAGCAGUGGGGAAUUUUGGGCAAUGGGGGAAACCCUGACCCAGCGACGCCGCGUGGAGGAUGACGGCCUUCGGGUUGUAAACUCCUGUCAGGUGGGAAGAAGAGCCAGUCGGAUAAUACCCGGCAGGAAUUGACGGUACCACCAAAGGAAGCCCCGGCUAACUCC
rnacentral:rRNA from 1 species